GACGAACGCUGGCGGCGUGCUUAACACAUGCAAGUCGAACGAUGAACUGGGGCUUGCUUCAGGGAUUAGUGGCGAACGGGUGAGUAACACGUGAGUAACCUGCCCUUGACUCUGGGAUAAGCGUUGGAAACGACGUCUAAUACCGGAUAUGAGCUGUGGCCGCAUGGUCUGCAGUUGGAAAGAUUUUUUGGUCAAGGAUGGACUCGCGGCCUAUCAGGUUGUUGGUGAGGUAAUGGCUCACCAAGCCUACGACGGGUAGCCGGCCUGAGAGGGUGACCGGCCACACUGGGACUGAGACACGGCCCAGACUCCUACGGGAGGCAGCAGUGGGGAAUAUUGCACAAUGGGCGAAAGCCUGAUGCAGCAACGCCGCGUGAGGGAUGACGGCCUUCGGGUUGUAAACCUCUUUUAGUAGGGAAGAAGGGAUCUUGACGGUACCUGCAGAAAAAGCACCGGCUAACUACGUGCCAGCAGCCGCGGUAACAC
rnacentral:rRNA from 1 species